rnacentral:rRNA from 1 species
AGCAGCCGCGGUAAUUCCAGCUCCAAUAGCGUAUAUUAAAGUUGUUGCAGUUAAAAAGCUCGUAGUUGAAUUUCGGGAUCAAUAUGUCGGUCGUGCCUCCGGUACGUACUGGCAUCAUUGAUUUCUCCCUUCUGACGAACCAUGAUGUCAUUAAUUUGGUGUCAUGGGGAGUCAGGACUGUUACUUUGAAAAAUUAGAGUGUUUAAAGCAGGCUCACGCUUGAAUACAUUAGCAUGGAAUAAUGAAAUAGGACGUUUGACCCUAUUUUGUUGGUUUCUAGGAUCGACGUAAUGAUUAAUAGGGAUAGUUGGGGGCAUUAGUAUUCAAUUGUCAGAGGUGAAAUUCUUGGAUUUAUUGAAGACUAACUACUGCGAAAGCAUUUGCCAAGGAUGUUUUCAUUAAUCAAGAACGAAAGUUAGGGGAUCGAAGACGAUCAGAUACCGUCGUAGU